CAUUGGACACAACAAAAACACUAUCAGAUUGUGAUAUUUUUAAUAUGAACGAGGAUUCAGAGACAAAUAUGGAAGGAGUUUUGCUGUCACCACAACCUCGUUUAGACUACAGUUUCGGUUGGGAUGAUUUGGAAAACAAUGAUGCUGAGAUGGUGCUUUGGAGCUAUUCUAUUUGAUGUCAUAGUAGUUUUGGAUAGUAAAGUGCGUAAAACACAAAAAAUAAAGAAGCAAGAUAUAGUAUAUGUGUGUAUUCCAGUUUGAUUGAAUAGAGACUAGGUGAGUCAAAUUGAUCUGGUAUUUGGUUUUGAAGUCCAAUAACCCAGACAGCUUACUAUAAGAAAAAAAGUAAGAGGAAAAAAUAUCAAGCAGGUAUGAGUGCAAGAACUUUGGAUAGAAUGCUUUGACUGUAUUGAUUUUCUUGUAUUUUCCUUUGUACAGUUACAAUAUAUAUGAAGAAUGGAAAAGAAUAUUGACUAAAAAUCACAUUUGAUAACCACCCAUAAUCUAAGGACAUGUUAAAAAAAAAAAAAAAAAAAAACGUUCUGUGAUGGGUAAAGCAUUUAUAAAAGGCAUUGAAAUUCAUUCGGAAGAUCCCUAAGAUCAUUUUCAUGUUCAGUUUGUAUACACUAUCUAAGCAGUGAGAAAAAGAGUUUAGAAGAGCCUUAACCCGCAGCUAAACACUACAUACAAGCUUGAAAGAGUGUGUCAAGAACGGUAAUGGCGGGAGGUUCGUUUUCGAUCCAAUUUACUCUGCAUUGAUCUAAAUGUUAUUUUGUUUAUUGAAGCAUGUUUAGAUCGCUUAAGGUGACUUACAUUUGGUAUCAGAGCCUUCGUUUUGUCUUUGCCUUGUUUGUUCUCAACCUGCACACAUUCUGUUGAAAAUUUUGGUUUUUGAGUCAGUCAUUUUUAUAGAAAUUGAGAUUAGGAAUCAUUGGAAAAUCGAUUUCUGAGAAUUUUGAUAUAAAAUAUGCAAAAUUUGGUGGUCGAAAUCAUGAGAUAUGAUCGGGUUUUUCAUUCGGGUCGAAAUGGGUCAAAACAACCCGGAAGACAACCUCUAAUAAAAAAAAACAUAUAAAAAAUAGUAAACAAUCAUUUCAAACUUGUUCCCGGACGACAUGUCAAAUUAUGUUGACAUGCAGUGGGCCUUCCUUGUCUAUUACUAAUUAAGGUACAAAAAUUGUUUUUGUUUUAACCAUUAGUUUUUAGCAUGCGGGCCACUUGCAUGAAAUAAAGGCUGCCAUUUAUAAUAUAGAAAUGGAAUGUUUAAUAUUAUUAAUUCGGAUUACUUUAAUAAAAUUUUGGACUUGCACAGCUAUUCCGUUUGAUGUCAUAGUAGUUUUAGAUAGUAAAGUGCGUAAAACACAAAAAUAAAGAAGCAAGAUAUAGUAUAUGUGUGUAUUCCAGUUUGAUUGAAUAGAGAGUAGGUGAGUCAAGUUGAUCUGGUAUUUGCUUUUGAAGUCCAAUCACCCAGACAGCUUACUAUAAGACAAAAAGUAAGAGGAAAAAAUAUCAAGCUGGUAACAGUGCAAGAACUUUGGAUAGAAUGCUUUGACUGUAUUGAUUUUCUUGUAUUUUCCUUUGUACAGUUACAAUAUAUAUGAAGAAUGGAAAAGAAUAUUGGCUUAAAAACCGACUUAAGAGUGAUCCACAUAUCUCACAUCCCACUACUUCAGCAACUGACCCAGUGUUUAAAAAUCACGUUUGAUAACGACCCAUAUUUUAACGACGUGCAAAAAUAAAAAAUAAAAAGGGCUCCAUGAUGGGCAGAGAAUUUAUAAAAGGCAUUCAAAUUCAUCGGAAGAUCCCUAAUAUCAUUUUCAUGUUUAGUUUGUAUACACUAUCUAAACAGUGAGAAAGAGAGCUUAGAAGAACCUUAACACGCAGCUAAACACUAUCUACAAACUUGAGUGAGUGCAUCAAGAAUGACAAUGACGAGAGGUUCGUUUUCGAUCCAUUUUACUCUGCAUUGAUCUAAAUGUUAUUUUAUUUAUUAAAGCAUGUUUAGAUCGCUUAAGGUGACUUACAUUUGGUAUCAAAGCCUUCGUUUUGCCUUUGCCUUGUUUGUUCUUAGCCUGCACAUUCUGUUGAAAAUUUUGGUUUUUGAUUUAGUCUUUUAUAUAGAAACUGAGAUUAGGAAUCACUAGGAAAUUGAUUUCUGAGAAUUUUGAUAUAAAAUAUGCGAAAUUUGAUGGUCGGAAUCAGGAGAUAUGACCGAAUUUUUCAUUCUGGUUGAAACCAGGCUGAAACGGGUCACAUCGACCUGUUGGAGGUUAAGACAACCUCUAAUAAAAAAAGAUAAAACAUAGUAAACAAUCUUUUCAAACCUGUUUGGAAGAUACGGCAAAUUAUGUUGAUGUGCAGUGGGCCUUCCUGUCUCUUACUAAUUAAGGUACAAAAAUGGUUUUUGUUUUAACCAUUCAGUUCUGCUUCUUAGCCAGGCUCAGAAAUAGGGUAAAAAACAGGGGGUUGAGGUGGCAUCACCUCAGCCCCCAGAUCCCAUACAUUUUUUUUUCCAGAUCCGACGGUCGAGGUCGAAACACCUCGGCACCCUUUUUUUGGCCUGGACAAGAGGCAAUUUCGUUAACCAUUAGUUUCUGGCACGCGGUCCCACUUGCAUGAAAUAAAGGCUGCCAUUGAUAAUAUGAAAAUAGAAUGUUUAAUAUUAUUAUUUUGGAUUAUUUUAAUAAAAUUUUGGACUUGCACAAGUACCAGCCGAAAAUUUUGAAAUUGUAUCUCAAAGACCCAUGUGCUGGAAAUUAAUGAGAAUUAUUUGGUGAUUUUGUUUUCAUAUGUACUAAACUUAUUUUGCCCCCGUUUGGCCCUCAUUCUCAUUUUCAUUAUUUUUCUCUCUUAUUUUCAACCACACAAUCUUUCAUAAAAUAAUAUUAAAUGCAAAUAAAAAACUUUUCAUUUUUUUUCAACCAUACAUUUUUCAAAAAAAUACUUUUUCAACCAUUAAAAUUUGGUAAGAAUGGGGACCAAACGGGUGUUUUAUUGUUUUUUAUGUAUAAUUUUUAUUGUUUUGUUUAACAUGCAAUAUUGAGUUAAAUAAUUUAGUGCAUUAAAAUUUAAUUUUUGUGUUCAUAUUGCCUAUGGUUUUGUGCAAUUUAUAUGAGCAUAUUUUUGUGAAUUAAAUUAAAAGUUGAGUGAUCCAUAUAAUUUAAUUAAUUGGGGAGUAGUCACAACAUUCUUAAUUAUACAAAAUUAUUUAUUAAAUGUAUAGGAUCACAUAUUGAAUAAAGACAUUAAUUGUGGUUAAUCAUAUUUAAUAUAAUGAAUAUUAUCCCACAAGAAUUUUAUUAUAUAUCUAUGAUUAAUUAAGAUAAAAUAUCAAACUAUAUUUUCUAAUUUGCCCCCAAUGAUUAGAAAAGGGAACGUAAUUUGAUAGUUUUAUUGUGAAGUUAAAAUGAAUCUAAUUGAAUCAGAACUUUAGCCCACAUGCAAGUCUUAUGUCACUAGAUUCAUAUUUUGCAUGAUCUUAUAUCGGUAAAACAUGUCAUAUGUUAUGAUAGCUUCAAAUUUUGUAAAAUGAGCAUGAAUGUUUGAUUUAUUGCAGCAAGUCAACCUGUUAAUUUCUCUAAUAUGAAAUGUGAUUUUCCAGAGCUGAAAGGGGAUAAUUAUAAGGUCUGGAAGGAGAGAAUUCUCCUUCACUUGGGAUGGAUGGACAUAGAUUACACCAGAAGGAAGGAGGAGCCCCCCUACAGUAACUGCUACCAUCACUCCAGAGGCAGUUCAACUUUAUGAAAAAUGGGAGCGAUCUAAUUGUCUUUCAGUUAUGUUCAUAAAGACGAAAAUAUCUGCUGGUAUUAGGGGCUCCAUCGAGUAGUGUGACAAAGUCCAAGAUUUGCUUACGGCCGUUGACAAACAAUUCGUCACUUCAGAUAAAGCAAUGGCCAGCACCCUCAUUAGGCAGUUUUCAUCCUUGAAGCUCAUCGGCAUUAAGGUUGUGCGUGAUCAUAUCAUGUGUAUGAGAGAUAUAGCAACCCAACUCAAGACAUUAGAAGUUGAGAUGUCUGAAUCAUUCUCGGUUCACUACAUCCUUUGCACUUUGCCUCAACAAUAUGGCCCAUUCAAGAUCUCCUAUAACAUACAUAAAGAUAAAUGGUCCAUUAAUGAGUUGCUAACCAUGUGUGUUCAGGAAGAGGGCAUACUACUUAUAGAGGAAGGUGAAAAGGAAAAGAUGUAUUUGACAACUCCAGGAAAGAAGAAGAAAGAUCAGGCCAAGGACAAGAUGAAGGGAAAAAUCCAUCCUCGAAAGGACAUCAAGAGGGAGAUUGUGUGCUUCUUUUGCAAGAAGAAACAACACGUGAAGAAGCAAUGCUCAAAGUUCAAGAAGUGGCUUGACAAAAAUGGUACUCAACUCUCAUCUGUUUGUUAUGAAUCCAAUGUGAUUGAUAUUAAUCAUAACACAUGGUGGAUUGAUUCUGGUUCUACGAUCUGUGUGACCAAUUCAUUGCAGGACUUGUGAAAUCUGUGGAAACCAAUGGAAAGUGAGCGUAGCAUCUAUUCAGGAAAUAAGAUGCCCUCACAUGUGGAGGCCAUUGGCAAGUAUAUAUUGGUUUUGAGUAGUGGUUUCAUUUUAAAUUUAGAAAAGACCUUUUAUAUUCCCAGUUUUUCUAAGAUUUGAUUUCAAUUUCCAGACUUGUAUCAGAUGGUUAUUUCUUUAACUUUUUAGACUCUAAAUUUAAUUUAAUUUAUGAAUCUGAUGUUAUUGGAUGUGACACUUUGUCUGAUGGUCUUUUUCUUAUUAAUUUGCAAAACGAUGACAACCAUACUGUCAUGCACAUUCAUGAAAGUAUUGGUACUAAACAAUGUGUUGUGAAUGAAGAGUCUUCUAUGUUGUGGCAUCGAAGACUGGGACACAUCUCCAUUGAUAGAAUUAAAAGGUUGGUGAAUGAUUGGGUACUUAGUACUCUAGAUUUUACAGACUUUGGGACUUUAUAGACUGCAUUAAGUGAAAGCAGACUAACAAGUCGAAAAAGAGUGCCAAGAUAAGCUUUGAAUUAUUGGAAAUCAUACACACAGAUAUUUGUAGUCCAGACAUGGAUGCAUACCGCAAUAAAUAAUUCAUCUAUUUUAUAAAUGAUUACUCACGAUACAUGUAUCUCUACUCGCUUAACAGUAAAAAUGAAAUACUAGAUGCUUUUAAGGUAUUUAAAGCUGAAGUAGGGAAACAAUGCGGUAAAAUAAUUAAGAUAGUGAGAUCCGAUAGAGGUCGAGAAUAAUCUAAUUAAAAAAUUAGGCUCUAAUCAUAAGUCAAUUAUAACGAGAGGAACUAUGAUAUUGACAUGAUGCCUGAUAGCAUUUCUACAAAAUUGGGAAGAACUUUGUUCUCAAUUAAUUGGGAAGUUUAACAAAUAAUAGUGUUAACCAAUUUAUCGACAUCCUAACUAACACUUAUUAAAAUAUUGAGAUUUUUAAUCACUAACAUGAACAAGACAUUGUCUUGAUUGUAUACUCUAAAAAUCAAGCUCACAAUUUUAAAUUUGAGCAGUAAUUUCACAAACUUUAGAUUACUAACACCAUGCAAUCAUCUAGCAUAUGUAACAAAUCUAUUAGAUAUAAACAAUAUUUAGAUGAUCAACGUGGAGGAUGAUGUGGUCCCAUUUAUCACACUAAUUAAUUUUCAGAAAUAUAGGGAAUUCAGUCCCUAUUUUAACUAGUUGUUGUUAGUGAAAGAGAACACACGUCAUAUAUGAUUGAACUAAAGAAUCUUUUGGUUCUUUAUUGCAUAUCCAUUUGAAUUUUUAAUUUCCCAUCAUUAUUAAUCUAGUGAUGAUCAAAAUGGUAAUGUCAAAUAAUAAAGUCGAGUUAAACUUCUUGUUCAGUAUAAAUAUAAUUCAAUUAUUUAGAGGGUGUUUGAGCCCCAUUUUUUAAAAAAAAAAUGCAUUUUAAAAUAUUAGAAUUAUGAGAAUGUGUGGUUUUGAAAAAUAAAGAAUUUUUUUAAUUUACGUGUAAUAUUAUUUUAUGAAGAAUGUGUGGUUGAAAAAAAAAAGAGAAACGUGUAUUUUUGAAAAAAUGAGAAUCAAACAAAGCAUUAAUUUCAAAAAAUAUGAUUAAACAUUAUAUAAUCAUAUAAUGAUCAAUGUCCACAUGACAUAAGUCGCGUGUUUUUCUUCAGAGAUAAACACAAAUUCAUAAAUUAUACAUGAUAUAUUCUUCAAAACAUGUGCGACUCUAAGAGUACGUUAUAUUUUAUUUUCGCUUCUUUAGGAGCAACAUCAAUAUUCUUCUGAAAUAUUGGAAUGGUAGUGUCAUACUUCAGGAACAAUAACAUAUUAUUAUUAAAAUAAUAAAUUAUAUAAGAAUUUACUCUUGCACUUUUUAAAACAUUCAGGGGUAAAAUUGCAAUUUUAUUCUUUUUUUUUUGUUUUAUUUAGAAAGGAAUAUUUUGCUCAUUUACAUUAAAAAAUCGUGAAAAUGGCGUUUUCUGCAAUGAAACAUUGAAAUAGGGGCGAAAAUGUAAAAAAAUGAAACGUAGGGAUGUUUUUCGCAAAAAGUGUCGGACAUAGGGACAUUUUGUGCUAUUAACCCAAAUUUUUAAUAUAAUAUCAAAUUUUUGUUUUAAUUGUUUUAUAAUAAUGAAAUCAUAUUGGAUUUUAGGAUGUAACUUACAAAAAGUUGUACACAUAGUUAUAAAAUUACGUUGUAACAACCUAAAAUCAGGUAUCAAUAUAAUAAUUAAAUAUUAAUCAACACCCAGUUCAUCUCCAAUCCCACUUUUGAAAACCUAAAUCUCUCUCUCUAAUCUCUCUCUUUGCUCUUCUCUCCAGUCGCUGUCUCCAUUAUUUGUCAUCGAAUUGACGGCACGGUUGAUAUGAAGUUUCUGAAAGAAGCCACCACUACUAGUGCUUCCUUAUCACUUUUCACAUUUACAGGAAGCUUCGUUCCUGCNNNNNNNNNNNNNNNNNNNNNNNNNNNNNNNNNNNNNNNNNNNNNNNNNNNNNNNNNNNNNNNNNNNNNNNNNNNNNNNNNNNNNNNNNNNNNNNNNNNNNNNNNNNNNNNNNNNNNNNNNNNNNNNNNNNNNNNNNNNNNNNNNNNNNNNNNNNNNNNNNNNNNNNNNNNNNNNNNNNNNNNNNNNNNNNNNNNNNNNNNUGUUUGUGACCAAAUAUUGUAGUGGAUCAGGAUCGAGCUUUUGGUGUCUGUGACCAACUAUUUGGUUCCCUAUGACUAACUAUUAAACUGUAACCUUAAAAUUUGAUUAGUUGUGACAUAAAAAAGUAAUUUGUGACCAUCAAAUCUGAAAAUAUGUGACUUGCGACAUAAUUUUUUGGAUUUGUAAAUUGUGGCCUUAAAAUUCGAACGUUUGUAACUUAAAAAAGUAAUUUGUGACCAUCAAAUUUGAAAAUAUGUGAAAUGUGACCUAUAAUUUUUUGAAUUUGUAACCAAUUACAUAAAUUGUGACCUAUAAAAUUUUCGAUUUGUGACCUUGACAUAAUUUGUGAUCAAUUAAUUUUAUUAAUAUGUGAUCAAUAAAUAAAUUGUAACCUAUAAUUAUAUUCAUACGACUAUUAAUUGUAUAAAUGUGACCUCAUUGUAUUUAAUUAAUAAAAAAUUUUAAUUAAUUAGCUAAAACCUUAUUUUUGCAUUAGUUAAACUUAAAACCUGAUUUUUGAAUUGUGCAUAGUUAAAACAUGAUUUGUGAAUUUUUUCCUUUUUUUAAUUCAUUCUAUUUGGUGCAUGCUUAGGAAAGAAAACAAACUUUCUUAAUAAAAAAAGUAAGUCCAAAUCCAAUUCUCUGGUCAAAACAACCCUCACAAAAAGCCCAAAUCCAAUUCUCUUCAUCUGUUCUCUCGCUACUUUGAAUUGCUCAAAAUCUCUCAUCAGUCGCUUGUAGUCUCACUGUAGUCAACGAUUACUCCUUUGUACUACGUGAUUGUAUUCAAAUAAUUCAUUUGCUACUUUUGGCAAAAACAAAAUGAUUCGACUAUGUGAAUAUUAUUCGGUAGAUUUUGAGGUAGUAGAUAUCCUGAAAUUUGAUGAUCAUCUUGAUGCAUAUAUUCUUGACGUGCACAUUGAUGGAAAUUUUGGAGGAUUACAAGGUUUUAAUGAACUUAUAAAGAAGUUAUGAAAAAUAAAUAUCAAGAGUAUUCAUUAGCAUACAAGCUUGUGAUAUUGACCUUAAUUCCUUCCCUGGCUACUAUUAAAAUUGAAUUGUAUGAUCAGUGAUUGAAUGAUAGUUUGAUUGUACAUAUUGAAAAUAUUGAAAAUGAUGUAAUUAUAGAACAUUAUCAAAGUAUGAGAAUGCAUAGAAAAUAAUUAUAAUAAGAUAUCGCAUGCUUUAAUUUUUUCACAAAUUUUAUUGCAAGUUUAAUUGUGACCUAAUUCAAAAUGCCUACGUUUGCCACUGCAUGAUGUUUACUAUAAAUCUAACAAUAUGUAUGGACUGCAAUAUUAUUUUGUAUGUUAUGAUUAUCUACAAUACUCACUUUUGUUUCAUCAAGGUGAAACUAGUUGGCACCAUGGUGCUCAAACAGUUGAUAAAGAACAACAAUAUUGCGUGAAUUAAGCCCUUUUUUUGUACACGUCAAUUUGUAGCAACUGAAGGAAUAAUUGCAAAUGAAGCAGUGAUAUCUUUUUGAUAAGUUUUUUCCAUUAUGUUGUUGUUUCUGCAGAUUUUUGUUUCUCAUAAUUUGUUUAACAGUAUUAAGAUUUUAGACAUCUAGAUUAUAUUAAUCUGACUUAAUUAUGAGCCGAACUUUAUCAAGGUCUAGUUGAUAUUAUAUAGAUUAGUGAGAGUAUAGGUGAGAAAGUUGGUCGAAGUGUUGUCUCGCCUUAGUCAUAUAUUGGCAGACCUAUUUAAAUUUAUAUAAAUUACUUUAUUGAAUUUAAUUUCAGUUCCAAUAUUAUACAAUGACAAAUGAAAAUUCUUUGUUGUGAUAUUCUAUGUUAAAGAUUUUGAAAAAUAAAUUAAGAUAAUUUCUGUAUUAUUUAUUAAUUUGAAGUUUAAAACUAAUUUCUAAUUCAAUUUAAGUUGAAGUUAUGAUUUAUAUCAUUUUUCAACUUUCAAAAUCUCAAAAAUGCUUGCACAAGUGUCUUGGUUUUUGUUGUGGAUGAUCUUUGUCUCUCUCUCUCUCUCUCUUUUUUUUUGACUGAAACUUGACAGAAGAGAAUGCAAAUAUAAAUAUUUUUAAUAAAAAUAUAUAAUCUUCGGUAAACAAUGAAAAUUUCAAAAACUAUGUUAUUAAAGUUGUUAGAGACUCGAUCAUAAGGUAAUCUAUGAAGAAGAUAUGAAAUGAAGAAAAGAAAUUAACUUUUUAACGAGAAAUAUAUAAUAAUUAAAUUCUUAAAGAGAUAUAUAAAGUGUUAAUUAUAGUAUUGUACAUGUUGUAAUUCGAUAUUUUUAAUGAAGUGUAUUUUUAAUGUGUUCAGCUUUUAUAAUGACAUAUUUAUAAAUUUUUUAUAUUAUUUUGGAAAAUAUUUAGUUACCAAUUAUUUUAUACAGAAGUUGCAUUUUGUACUAUUGAAUAAAAUAUAAAUUUCAAAAAAAUAAUGAGUAAACUGUAAGCCUCUAUUUAGUUUAUACAAAAAUUAAGUUUUAGUAAUAAAAAUUGAUGAAAUAUAUAAUUAAAAAAUUAUCAUUUUCCAUAAAAUAUAUGAUUAAAUUAAUUAUUAAUUUUCAAUGAUUUUUUUUUAAUUAAACCAAACAAGGGCGAUAUACACACAAUAAAUAUCCUUCUUGUUGACAUUGAAAUGGCCAAUUGUACCCUCGCAUUUGAUUCCAAACAGGCAAGAAAAAAUAGUUAGAAUUUUAUUUUAUUUUUGGUCCAAAUAAAGUCGAACUUUUGCUCAAUCAAAAAAUUUAGGUUCAACUUGACUUUUUGACUCAGAUCUUUAUCAAGCCGAGCCUAGAGGCCUAGACCUUUGCAGUCUCUUUGGAGUGGAUGACAGAUUUCACUGAAUUGAUUGGCCAAUUGUACCCACGCAAGUGGCUCCAGACAAGAAAGAAACAAUUUAUUCUUCACGUGCCCUGAAAUCUGCAAGCCAUAAGACAUGAUGUAAUCAAUCUAGGAAUCUUGCAUCUUCUGAUGAAAUAAAUGUAUAUUUCUCUUUUUAUCACCUAAAUUUGUGUAUUUAAAUUUGAGAAAAUUAGAGAAACUGCUAGACACUACCUGAUAAAGGCAAUAGGGAUCGUACUAUGUCCAUCGAGACGAGAGAAACUUCUGUAGAGUGAUCGUACCACGUGACAGUGUAACCGCCUUAUCAAGGUGCACCACCUUAGCGGAUGGCCCACACACCUCACGCGGUGCGACUGCCCUAUUAAAGUGCGCUACCUAGGUCGGUGGGCCACCACACACCCCUUGAGGUGUGUGGGCCACCCACUGAAGUGGCGCCUCAUUACGGAUGGUGCGACUGUCCCACUAAAGAUUUUCUCCAUUGAGAUAGUUGUGUGAGUCGAACAUUCGUAUAGAUGGGUCAAGUUUUUCGCAUAUAAAUUUGAGCUAUUAAAAAAAAGAUUUUGAUCAAAGUCAAAGUUAACAAUUAAUUUUAACUACACAUUUCAAUGGAUUCAUAACUUUUCAACCAUACAUUUUAUCAACUUCUAUCAAAAUUUACUAAAACUCUAAUUUUAAUCACCACCAAAUAAGGGUUUUACUUUAACUUUGAGGUGAUUUUAGCCUUAAAUCACUUUUAAAUCAUAUAUAUGGGGCCCGUUUGACGUGAUUUUUAUUUUAACUUUUAUCGCCUCUAGUGUUUGAAAAGUAAUUUUUAAAAUGAUUCCCUAUUUUAGAAGUAUUUUUAGAGAAAGUCAAACUGAAUCUGUUUCCUCUAAAAACUUUUUUAAUUAGAAAAAUCACUUUCAUAAAAUUAGUCAAAUAAGUUCAAAAAUAACUUUUAUUCGAGCCACAUUUUUUUCAAAAAAGAAUAUAUUUUUAAACAGUGAUUUAAUAUUAAUCCAACCACACAUUUUUCAAUAAAAUAAUAUUACACCAAAAUUCAAAACUUUUCUUUAUUUUUUAACCAUAUAUUUUCCAUCUAUACACUAUUAAAAAAUGCAUACUAAAGAAAAUAAUGCACCUCAAACAAGGGCUUAGAUUUCAAAACUUUCUUUUUAAUUUUUUAAAAGUUAUGUGGGUCCAUUGUAGUUUCAUUGAUGAACGUUAUUACUUUAAAAUUAUCUUUUUGGGAAAUUUCAUGGGCCAUCUAUGUUUCUCCGAAGUUAUGAGGAUCUGAUUAGAAUAAAAUAAAUAAAUAAAUAAAUAAAUAAUGGGUUUAGUUCAGCUCCUUCAACAAAAAAAACUAAAAAAUAGUAUGUCGUGACGUUAAUGUUAUAAAAUCGGUAACAAAAAUAUGAAAAAAAGGGGGNNNNNNNNNNNNNNNNNNNNNNNNNNNNNNNNNNNNNNNNNNNNNNNNNUGGGAGGAAAUAAAAAGAAAGUAAAUAAGCUAAUUAAAUAAAAUAUUAUUUUUUCUACUUUUUAUAAAUUUUUGAAGGUUUAAUAAGCUAAUUAAAUAAAAUAUUAUUUUUCAUGGUUUUAGAAUAAUUUAAAUAAUUCUAAAAAAAUCAGAACGUCUUAUUAUGUCUAACUUCAUAUAUGCGUACUUAUACUUGUAAAUUUGAGGUUAGACCUUACCUUCAUGCACUAUUCCACGCUUUUUAAAACAUUCUUAAAUCAAUAAAACCAUAGAUACAAGAAAAAUUUAUCAAAACUUGUAUCGACGUUGAUGUGGCAAAAUGUAAAUGAACUAUUUUUUUUUCAUUUUUUCCUAUAUUUCAAUGAUGUCACGCCAAAUAUUGUCUGCAAGGUUUUUUCGUAAUUUUAAAAUCUUCUUAAAUAGUAUUAAUAAUAUAAUAAUCAUUUACUUAACUAACUUAGCAACACCCUAGUAAGCAAAAUAAUCAUUACAUAUAUAAUUCUCUUCUCUGCUUCUUGAUCAUAAUUUUCAUGGAUUCAUUAAGUUCAUAUUCUGACCCAAAUCCGUUCUGCGUUUCCGACAUGCCUGAGAUUACAUCGUUGAAGGGACAUUCUGACGAAGAGGUUAUUUUGGCGUCGAGUCAGCCCAAGAAACGUACAGGAAGGAAGAAGUUCAAGGAAACUCGCCACCCUGUUUAUCGAGGCAUUAGACAGCGGAAUUCAAACAAAUGGGUAUGCGAGUUACGUGAACCGAGAAAUCAGAAAAGGAUAUGGCUAGGAACUCAUCCUACUGCAGAAAUGGCAGCACGUGCUCAUGAUGUUGCUGCAUUAGCAUUCAGAGGUCAGUUGGCAUGCCUGAAUUUCGCCGAUUCUGUCUGGUGCUUGCCGGUGCCGGUUUCUGAAGAUGCUAAGGAUAUUCAGAAGGCGGCAAUAGAGGCGGCAGAACUGUUCAGGCCGUUCGAGGGGGGUGGUGGUGGUGGGACAAUAAUGCAAGAAAAUGAGAUGAAUUCUGAGGGGGUUUCAAGUGGCAAUUUGACAACAUUGGACACAACAAAAACACUAUCAGAUUGUGAUAUUUUUAAUAUGAAUGAGGAUUCAGAGACAAAUAUGGAAGGAGUUUUGCUGUCACCACAACCUCGUUUAGACUACAGUUUCGGCUGGGAUGAUUUGGAAAACGAUGAUGCUGAGAUGGUGCUUUGGAGCUAUUCUAUUUGAUGUCAUAGUAGUUUCGGAUAGUAAAGUGCGUAAAACACAAAAAUAAAGAAGCAAGAUAUAGUAUAUGGUGAAUGGAGAGUAGGUGAGUCAAGUUGAUCUGGUAUUUGGUUUUGAAGUCCAAUCACCCAGACUGCUUAUUAUAAGACAAAAAGUAAGAGGAAAAAAUAUCAGGCAAGUAAGAGUGUAAAACCGACUUAAGAGUGGUCCACAUAUCCCAUAUCCCACUACUUCAACAACUGACCCAAUGUUUAAAAAUCACAUUUGAUAACUACCCAUGUUCUAAGGACGUGCAAAAAAAAAAAAAAGAAUACUCUGUGAUGGGCAGAGCAUUUAUAAAAUGCAUUCGGAAGGUCCCUAAGAUCAUUUUCAUGUUCAGUUUGUAUGCACCAUCUAAGCAGUGAGAAAGAGAGCUUAGAAGAGCCUUAACCCGCAGCUAAACACUACCUACAAGCUUGAGUGAGUGCGUCAAGAACGGCAAUGGCAGGAUGUUCGUUUUCGAUCCAUUUUACUCUGCAUUGAUCUAAAUGUUAUUUUGUUUAUUAAAACAUGUUUAGAUCGCUUAAGGUGACUUACAUUUGAUAUCAGAGCCUUCGUUUUGCCUUUGCCUUGUUUGUUCUUAGCCUGCACACAUUCUGUUGAAAAUUUUGGCAUUUGAUUUAGUCUGUUAUAUAGAAACUGAGAUUAGGAAUCAUUAGGAAAUCGAUUUAUGAGAAUUUUGAUAUAAAAUAUGAGAGAUUUGGUGGUCGGAAUCAUGAGAUAUGAAAGGGUUUUUCAUUCGGGUUGAAACCGGGUUACAUCGACCCGUCGGGAGGUUGAAGAUAACCUCUAUUAAAAAAAAAAAAAAUAAAAUAAAAUAAAAUAGUAAACAGUCUUUUCAAACUUGUUUGCAAGGAGACAUGGCAACUUAUGUUGACAUGCAGUGGCCCUUCCUUGUCUCUUACUAGUUAAGGUACAAGAAUGGUUUUUGUUUUAACGAUUAGUUUCUAGCACGUGAGCCCACUUGUAUGAAAUAAAGGCCGUCGUUGAUAUAAUAGAAAUUGAAUGUUUAAUAUUAUUAUUUCGGAUUACUUUAAUAAAAUUUUGGACUUGUACUAGUACCAGUCGAAAAUUUUGAAAUUGUAUCUCUUUGUGGACCCAUGUGCUGGAAAUUAAUGAGAAUUAUUUGGUGAUUUUGUUUUCAUAUGUACUAAACUUAUUUUGCCCCCAUUUAGCCAUCAUUUUCCUUCUCAUUAUUUUUCUCUCUUAUUUUUAACUACAUAAUCAUUCAUAAAAUAAUAUUAAACUCAAAUAAAAAACUUUUCAUUUUUCUCAACCACACAUUUUUAAAAAAAACACUAUUCCAACCAUUAAAAUUUAGCAAGAAUGGGGGCCAAACAGGUGUUAUAUUGUUUUGUAUGUAUAAUUUUUAUUGUUUUGUUAUAUAUACAAUAUUGAGUUAAAUAAUUUAGUACAUUAAAAUUUAAUUUUUGUGUUCAUAUUGCUUAUGGUUUUGUGCAAUUUAUAUGAGCAUAUUUUUGUGAAUUAAAUUAAAAGUUGAGUGACCAUAUAAUUUAAUUAAUUGGGGAGUAGCCACAUCAUCCUUAAUUAUACAAAAUUAUAUAUUAAAUGUAUAGGAUCACAUAUUGAAUAAAGACAUUAAUUGUGGUUAAUCAUAUUUAAUAUAAUGAAUAUUAUCCCACAAGAAUUUUAUUAUAUAUCUUUGAUUAAUUAAGAUAAAAUAUCAAACUAUAUUUUCUAAUUUGCCCCCAAGGAUUAGAAACGGGAACAUAAUUUGAUAGUUUUAUUGUGUAGUUAAAAUAAAUCUAAUUGAAUUAGAACUUUAGCCCACAUGCAAGUCUUAUGUCACUAGAUUCAUAUUUUGCAUGAUUUUAUAUCUGUAAAACAUGUCUUAUGUUAUGUUAGCUUCAAAUUUUGUAAAAUGAGCAUGAAUGUUUGAUUUAUUGCAGCAAGUCAACUUGUUAAUUUCUCUAAUAUAAAAAGUGAUUUUCCCGAGCUGAAAGGGGAUUGUUAUAAGGCCUGGAAGGAGAGAAUUCUCAAUCACUUGGGAUGGAUGGACAUAGAUUACGCCAUAAGGAAGGAAGAGCCCCCUAUAGUAAUCACUACCAGCACUUCAGAGGCAGUUCAACUUUAUGAAAAGUGGGAGCGAUCUAAUCGUCUUUCCGUUAUGUUCAUAAAGACGAAAAUAUCUAAUGGUAGUAGGGGCUCCAUCGAGUAGUGUGACAAAGUCCAAGAUUUGCUUAAGGCCGUUAACAAACAAUUCGUCACUUCAUAUAAAGCGAUGGCCAGCACUCUCAUUAUGCAGUUUUCAUCCUUGAAGCUCAUCGACAUUAAGGUUGUGCGUGAUCAUAUCAUGCGCAUGAGAGAUAUAGCAACCCAACUCAAGACAUUGGAAGUUGAGAUGUCCGAAUCACUCCUGGUUCACUAUAUCCUUUGCACUUUGCCUCAACAAUAUGGCCCAUUCAAGAUCACCUAUAACACACAUAAAGUUAAUAGUCCAUUAAUGAGUUGUUGACCAUGUGUGUUCAGGAAGAGGGCACACUACUUAUAGAGGAAGGUAAAAAGGAAAAGAUGUAUUUGACAACUCCAGGAAAGAAAAAGAAAGAUCGGGCCAAGGACAAGGGGAAGGGAAAAAUCCAUCCUCAAAAUGACAUUAAGAAGGAGAUUGUGUGCUUCUUUUGCAAGAAGAAGCGGCACGUUAAGAAGCAAUCCUCCAAGUUCAUGAAGUGGCUUGACAAAAAGGAUACUCAACUCUCACCUGUUUGUUUUGAAUCCAAUAUGAUUGAUAUUAAUCAUAACACAUGGUGGAUUGAUUCUGGUUCUACGAUCUAUAUGACCAAUUCAUUGCAGGACUUGGGGUACUUAGUACUCUAAAUUUUACGGACUUUGGGACUUGUAUAGACUACAUUAAGGGAAAGUAGACUAACAAGUCAAAAAAGGGUGCCAAGAGAAGCUCUAAAUUAUUGAAAAUCAUAUUCACAGAUAUUUGUAGUCCAGACAUGGAUGCAUACCACGAUAAAUACUUCAUCUCUUUUAUAGAUGAUUACUCGCGAUACAUGUAUCUCUACUCGCUUAACAGUAAAAAUGAAGUACUAGGUGCUUUUAAGGUAUUUAAAGCUGAAGUAGAGAAACAUUAAUGCGGUAAAAUAAUUAAGAUAGUGAGAUCCGAUAGAGGUGGAGAAUAAUCUAAUGAAAAAAUUAGGCUCUAAUCAUAAGUCAAUUAUAACGAGAGGAACUAUGAUAUUGACAUGAUGCGUGAUAGCAUUUCUACAAAAUUGGGAAGAACUUUAUUCUCAAUUAAUUGGAGAAGUUUAAAGAAUAAUAGUGUUAAAGAAUUUGUUGACAUCAUAACUAACACUUAUUAAAAUAUUGUGAUUUUUAAUCACUAACAUUAACAAGACAUUGUCUUGAUUGUAUACUCUAAAAAUCAAGCUCAUAAUUCUAAAUUUGAGCAGUAAUUUCACAAACUUCUUACCAACACCAUGCAGUCAUCUAGUAUAUGUAACAAAUUUAUUAGAUAUAAACAAUAUUUAGAUGAUCAACGUGGAGGAUGAUGUGGCCUCAUUUAUCACACCAAUCAAUUUUCAGAAAUAUAGGGAAUUCAGUCCCUAUUUUAACUAGUUGUUGUUAAUGAAAGAGAACACACGUCAUAUAUGAUUGAAUUGAAAAUUUUUUUUGGUUCUUUAUUACAUAUCCAUUUGAAUUUUUAAUUUCGCAUCAUUAUUAAUCUAGUGAUGAUCAAACUAGUCAUGCCAAAUAAUAAAGUCGAAUUGAACUUCUUGUUCAGUAUAAAUAUAAUUCAAUUAUUUAGAGGGUAUUUGAGCCGCAUUUUUAAGAAAAAUGCAUUUUAGAAUAGUAGAAUGAUGAGAAAUGUGUGGUUGAAAAAUAUGAAAAUUUUUUAAAUUUACGUGUAAUAUUAUUUUAUGAAGAAUGUGUGGUUAAAAAAAAAACUUGUAUUUUUGAAAAAAUAAGAAUCAAACAAAGCAUUAAUUACAAAAAAUAUGAUUAAACAUUAUAUAAUCAUAUAAUGAUCAAUGUCCACAUGAAAUAAGUUGUAUUUUUUUCUUUAGAGAUAAACACAAAUUCAUAAAUUAUACAUGAUUUAUUUUUCAAAACAUGUGCUACUUUAAGAGUACGGUAUAUUUUAUUUUCGCUUCUUUAGGAGCAACAUCAAUAUUUUUCUGAAAUAUUGGAAUCGUAAUGUCAUACUUCAGGAGCAAUAAUAUAUUAUUAUUAAAAUAAUAAAUUAUAUAAGAAUUUACUCUUUAGGAGGAAAAACAUAAUUUACGUUAGAUCGUAUUUAAUUAUGCUCUUCGAGAGUAAGUGAAAUGUAACAAAAAUAUUUGUCAAUAAUAGUGUGUUGCUUCAUGAGAAAUAAUAUUCUUUUAGAACAAUGUUGUGCUACUAAAGGAGCGCCAAUAAAUUAUUAUUUAAAAAGAUUAAAUCUUCUGGAGUAUGAUUUCUAGACAAAUAUCAACAUUUGAAAAGUUGUACUUCUUCAAAAGUACUUUAUGUUUUACUAUUACUUCUUCAGCUGCAAUAAACCAAUAUCUUCAUUUGAAAUAUAAAAAAUUGAAAUUCAUGCUUUUCAUAGCAAUAUGUCUAUUAUUUUGGAAUAUUGAAAAUUAUGAUUCAUAUUCAUCGAGAGCAAAUAAUAUUUUUUGGAAAUGUUAAAAAAUAUAGUUCAUAUUCUUCAGAAACAAGUAAUAUUCUUCAAAAAUAUUAUUUAUAAUGUUGUGUUACUUCAAGAGCAACUACAAAGUAUUUAUAAUAGAUAGAUGGUUUUAUAAAUGGUUUAACAUACAACAUACAAUUACACUUACCUCGUAAAUUUGAAGAGGGUUUUAUAAACUACGUACGGAAGAUCUUGACCUUAAACAAACGUUUAUGAACUAUGUGUUCAGUGUGGGACAACAUACACACACAACACAAAUAUAUUUUAAAUUAAUCAAUUAUAAUUAUGCAUAUAUAGAUGCACAUAAUUAUAGCAAUACUAUAAUUUAAUCAAUUUCUCGUAAUUAUAUAUAAUUAUACAUAUAUAUGUACGUAAUUUUAGUAAUACUAUAUUUGAAAUCAAUCAACCAUAAUUAUACAUAUACAAAUGCACAUAAUUAUUGUAACAUUAUAUUUAAAUCAAUCAAUUGUAAUUAUAUAUAAUUAUACAUAGAUAGACGUACGUAAUUGUAGUAAUACCAUAUUUGAAAUCAAUCAACCAUAAUUAUGUAUAAUUAUACAUAUAUAGACUUACAUAAUUAUAGCAAUCACAAAAUUUAAAUCAAUUGUUCAUAUAUUAUAUAUAUAGAAAAUUACACUUGUAGUCCCUCAACUAUUUGGGUGAUGUGCAAUUUGAUCAUCUAACUUCAUCCUCUUACACUAAGGUCCUAAUUUUAUAAUUAAUGACUAUAAAGAAAUUUGGUGUAUUACAAUCUAUCCCUAUUAAAACAAAUUUUCAUCCUCGAAUACCCUCUUAAAAUAGAUUUUCAUUCUAAAAAAUUACCUUAGAUAUCAUCAACAAACAGUUAUAUAUAUAUAUAUAUAUAUAUAAAUUUUGUUUGAUAUAUAUAUAUAUCAACAAACAGUUAUUAAUUGGUUGUUAUUAAAUAUAAAUUUUGUUUGUAUAUAUAGAUAGAUAUAGAUUGAUAUAUGUAUAGUUAUAAAUGUAUAUUUGUUAAUAUCUUCACACGAGUAUCUCUCUCUUCCACUCAAAUUAACUACAUUUAAAAAACUUCCACAUAUCCACUCGUCAUUCCAUUUUCCCCACUUAUCCAACUAAUAAGAAAGAUUCCAUCAAGUCCCUUAUAUAUUUAUCUCACAUCACUCACCAUUUCUUUUAUUUUAAUAUUUCAUAACUUGUAUUCCCAUAUUUUAUUACUCAUUUUCUUCCAUAUUUUUGGGUAUCAAAACAACAAAAAAUUGUCCAGUAGCAUUUAAAGUACUCAUUUUAUCUCAACAUUUUUCAUUUGAUUGAAACGCCUUUGAAGGUUAUAAGGUAAGAUAACGACGUACAGGUAGUUUUGUCCUGUUUAAUUUUUUUUAUUUCAUAUUGAUAAAUAUUUUAAUGAUGAUAUGAAACGAUAUGAUAUAUAUGGCCAUCCGAUACAAAUAAUACGAUAUGAUAUGGGCUUUUACCAGCUUUAAAGAUUUGAUACAACGGUACGAUAUAUUUUAAUAUAUGAAUGAUAAAUAUUAUUCGUAUCCUAUUGAGUAUUCCCAUACUCACCCCAAUUUCUCCUACUUCAUAGGUUAGUUCGGGUCGUAUCAAACCGUGGUGAUUCGAUUGGGUGGUUGUGCCUCAUUUAGCUGGACAAAGCUAAAAUUUAAAAUGUAACUUUAUUUCUUUUAAGUUUAAUUGCAAUAGAUAUUAUUCAUAAUUAAAUUCUCAUACAUGUUAUUUGUAUAUGGAUGUAUUUAGUUUGCACUUUUGAUUAAAAGUUUGAAUUUAAUUGUUUGAUGUAGUGGUGUAAUUAUCUUCCGCUCAUUUUUUUUAAAAAUUAAUUGUUUCGUUAGCUGUUGAAUAUGUUAAAAUACAAUUAUCUACUUCUAAUAAAUUGGAUUUCAAAGAGUGUGCGAGUUAGUAGUUAAAAUUGUUGAAUCAUAUAAAAUAUGAGGUUGAAUUUAAAAUUGACCAUUUUUUUAAGCAAACUUUUGGGUGACGACUUAAAAUAUAAAAAAUUGGAUUUCAAUUUUGGUCUGCAUUGUGAUAAAGAAUUAUGUAUGAAUUAUAAAGAUGUUUAUACAUUUAGAAUCUAUGGACAAAUAUAUCAUUAUGUGAAAAAGUUCUUUCUUUUAAUGGUCAUCCUUCAUUUACAGUUAUAUUUCUUUGGAACUAAAAAUUAAAUGCAAAAUUGAUUACAACCUUUUGAAAAAUUGAUCGAACCAAUCGUUUCAAAAUUAAUAUAUAUUUUAAAUGUUAUUCAUUAAUAAAAUGUUUUCCGUUUUCCAAAGUUUAAAUAUUUUUCCUGAUUUAAAAUGUCAUUCUAAUUGAAUAAGAUGCGAUAUUGAACUUGAUCAAAAAAGUGUAAUAUACCCAAGUUAUGCAAUUUGGGUUGAGGACAUUAAAUCAACAAAUAUUAAGACAAGUGAUUAUACUGUUGGACCCAAGGUAAGUCAUGGUGGGUCAUGUGAUUUAAACAUCAUAAUUCAAAUAACAGGGCUGAAAUUUCAUUAUGCAAAAAUCAAGUGUCAAUAUAAUAAUUAAAUAUUAAUCAAUACCCAAUUCAUCUCCAAUCUCAUUUUUGAAAACCUAAAUCUCUCUCUCUAAUCUCUCUCUUCCUUCUUCUCUCUAGUCGCUGUCUCCAUUAUCUGUCAUCGGAUCGGUGGCUCGGUUGAUGUGAAGUUUCUGAGAGAAGCCACCACUACUAGUGCUCCCUUAUCACUUUUCACAUUUAUAGGAAGCUUCGCUCCUGCGCUUUGCCACAACACUCGACAGUGCAGCUGUCUCCCUUCUCUUUGUUAUCGGAUCGACGACGCGAUCGAUGCUGAGUUUCCUGAGAGAAGCCACCGCUGCAGGUGCUUUCUUAUCCCUUUCCAUAUAAACUUGGUUCUUGCGCCUUCCACAUCUCACGACGGUGUCUCCUUGAUUGAAGAGACCUGUGAGCAUGGCUUGAGACACCCAUCAUUUUGUUGUUGUUGGCGGUGUUUAAGGUUGUGUUGUGUCGGGGGACAGUGAUGUUGAUUUGGUGGUGAUGAAGCCAUGCAUCCUACAUUUUUUCCGUCUUUCUAUUGCAACUGAGUGGAAGUGGUGGCGGUGGUUUUGAUGGUUGCGGUGGCAAGGUGGUGAUGGUCGUCAAAGUUAUUGCGAUGGUUGUGGGUGUAGGUGUUGGUGGUGUGAUCACCAGUUGUGUUUGUGUGGAAGUGUAUUGGUACGGUAUCUAGGUGUUUGUUGGUUUUUGGAAUGGUGGUGGAUGUAGUGGUGGUGCCGAGAGGUAGCGAUGACAAUUGGGUGGCCUGCUUGGCUUAGUGCGGUGGCUGUUGUUGAUGUAUUUUAGUUAGGUUUGUUGAAAUUUUGGAGUGGUGGUGGUGGUGGUAGUGGUGGUGGCCAUGGUUGUGAUUGUAUUGUGGCGGGGUAGGGUAGUGUUGGUGACCAAAUAUUGUAGUGGAUCGGGAUCGAGCAUUUGGUGUUUGUGACCAAUUAUUUGGUUUCCUGUGACUAACUAUUAAACUGUGGCCUUAAAAUUUGAUUAGUUGUGACCUAAAAAAGUAAUUUGUGAUCAUCAAAUCUGAAUAUAUGCGACUUGCGACCCAUAAUUUUUUGGACUUGUAAACUGUCGCCUUAAAAUUUGAACAUUUGUGACUUAAAAAGUAAUCUAUGACCAUCAAAUUUGAAAAUAUGUGAAAUGUGACCUAUAAUUUUUUGGAUUUGUAACCAAUGACAUAAAUUGUGACCUGUAAAGUUUUCGAUUUGUGACCUUGACAUAAUUUGUGACCAAUUAAUUUGACUAAUAUAUGACCAAUAAAUAAAUUGUAAUCUAUAAUUAUAUUCAUGCAACCAUUAAUUGUAGAAAUUUGAUCUCAUUGUAUUUAAUUAAUAAAUAUUUUUAAUUAAUUAGCUAAAAUCUUAUUUUUGCAUUAGUUAAACUUAAAACCUGAUUUUUGAAUUGUGCAUAGUUAAACAUGAUUUGUGAAUUUUUCCAUUUUUUUAAUUCACUCUAUUCGGUGCAUGCUUAGGAAAGAAAAUAAACUUUCUUAAUAAAAAAGUAAGUCUAAAUCCAAUUCUCUGGUCAAAACGACCCUCACAAAAAGCCCAAAUCCAAUUCUCUCCAUCCGUUCUCUCGCUACUUUGAAUUGCUCAUAAUCUCUCAUCGGUCGCUUGUAGUCUCACUGCAGUCAAUGGUUACUCCUUUGUAUUAUGUCAUUGUAUUCAAAUAAUUUAUUUGCUACUUUUGGCAAAAACAAAAUUAUUCGACUAUGUGAAUAUUAUUCGGUAGAUUUUGAGGUAGUAGAUAUCUUGAAAUUGAUGAUCAUCUUGAUGCAUAUAUUCUUAACUUGCACAUUGAUGGAAAUUUUGGAGGAUUACAAGGUCUUAAUGAACUUAUAAAGAAGUUGCGAAAAAUAAACAUCAAGUGUAUUCAUUAGCGUACAAGCUUGUGAUAUUGACCUUAAUUCUUCCCCUGGCUACUAUUAAAAUUGAAUCGGAUGAUCAGUGAUUGAAUGAUAGUUAAAAAUGAAGUAAUUAUAGAAUAUUAUCAAAGUAUGAGAAUGUAUAGAAAACAAUUAUAAUAAGAUAUCGCAUGCUUUAAUUUUUUCACAAAUUUUUUUGCAAGUUUGAUUGUGCCCUAACUCAAAAUGCCUACGUUUGCCACUGCAUGAUGUUUACUAUAAAUCUAACAAUAUGUAUGGACUGCAAUAUUAUUUUGUAUGUUAUGAUUAUCUGCAAUACUCACUUUUGUUUCAUCAAGGUGAAACUAGUUGGCACCAUGGUGCUCAAACAGUCGAUAAAAACAACAAUAUUGCAUGAAUUAAGCCCCUUUUUUGUACACGUCAAUUUUUUUCAACUGAAGGAAUAAUUGCAAAUGAAGCAGUGAUAUCUUUUUGAUAAGUUGUUUCCAUUAUGUUGUUGUUUCUGUAGAUUUUGUUUCUCAUAAUUUGUUUAAAUGUUGUAUUAAGAUUUUAGACAUCUAGAUUAUAUUAAUCUGACUUAAUUAUGAGCCGGACUUUAUCAAGUUAUAGUUGAUAUUAUAUAGAUUAGUGAGAGUAUAGGUGAGAAAGUUGGUCGAAGUGUUGUCUCGCCUUAGUCAUAUAUUGGCAGACCUAUUUAAAUUUAUAUAAACUACUUUAUUGAAUUUAAUUUCAGUUCCAAUAUUAUACAAUGACAAAUGAAAAUUCUUUGUUGUGAUAUUCCAUGUUAAUGAUUUUCAAAAAUAAAUUAAGAUAUAUUCAGUAUUAGUUAUUAAUUCGAAGUUUAAAACUAAUUUCUUAUUCAAUUUAAGUUAAAGUUAUGAUUUAUAUCAUUUUUCAACUUUCAAAAUUUCAAAAAUGCUUGCACAAGUGUCUUGGUUUUUGUUGUGGAUGAUCUUUGUCUCUCUCUUUUUUGUUUUAUUUUAUUUUUUUUGAAUGAAGCUUGACAGAAGAGAAUGCAAAUAUAAAUAUUUUUAAUUAAAAUAUAUAGUCUUCGGUAAACAAUGAAAAUUUCAAAAACUAUGUUAUUAAAGUUGUUAGAGUCUCGAUCAUAAGUUAAUCUAUGGAGAAGAUAUGAAAUGAAGAAAAGAAAUUGACUUUUUAAAAUUCUUAAAGAGAUAUAUAAAGUGUUAAUUAUAGUAUUGUACAUGUUGUAAUUCGAUAUUUUUAAUGAAGUGUAUUUUUAUGUGUUUAGCUUUUAUAAUGACAUAUUUAUAUAUUAUUAUAUUAUUUUGGAAAAUAUAUAGUACCCAAUUAUUUUAUUCAGAAGUUGUAUUUUGUACUAUUGAAUAAAAUAUAAAUUUCAAAAAAAUAAUGUGUAAACUGUAAGCCUCUAUUUAGUUUAGACAAAAAUUAAGUUUUAGUAAUAAAAAUUGAUGAAAUAUAUAAUGAAAAAUUAUGAUUUACCAUAAAAUAUAUGAUUAAAAUUAAUUAUUAAUUUUCAAUGAUUUUUUUUUAAAAUUAAACCAAACAAGGGCGAUAUACACACAAUAAAUAUAAUAAAAAUUUUAUUCUGUAAAUUUCCUUCUUGUUGACAUUGAAAUGGCCAAUUGUACCCUCGCAUUUGCUUCCAAACAGGCAAGAAAAGAUGGUUAGAAUUUAUUUUUUUGGGGUCCGAAUAGAUUCGAACUUUUGCUCGAUCAAAACUUCUGGGUUCGACUUGACUUUUUGACUCAGAUCUUUCUCGAGCCGAGCCUAGAGGCCUAGACCUUUGCAGUCUCUUUGGAGUGGAUGAUAGAUUUCCUCCACUGAAUUAAUUGGCCAAUUGUACCCUCGCAAUUGGCUCCAGUCAAGAAAGAAAUAAUUUAUUCUUCACGGUCCCUGAAAUCUGCGAACCAUAAGACAUGAUGUAAACAACCUAGGAAUCUUCACAUCUUAUGAUGAAAUAAAUGUAUGGGGCAUUUGUUUCUCAUUUUUGUAAAAAUGAGAAUGAAAAAUAUAACUCUUAUGGGUAGGGUUGCUCGGCUUGGCCCAUGAAAGCACGAGCUCAGCUCGUCCGAAAAUGGGUGAGCUCGGCUCGCGAGCAAACAUCAUUUUUCCAUUUUUUUUUAAACAAAUAGGUAAAUUGGAAAAUAAAAAAGUAAUUUUAAUUUUUAAAUUAUGAAUUAUAUAUAAAAAAAACUAGGUAAAAAAUUUAAACCCUCCUCCUUUAUCCGGGUUUGGGACCGACUACUUAAAAUGUAGAUGUAUAGUAGUAAUAAUACCAAGUACUAACAAAAAUUUAACUAAAUUGGUGGAAAGGAAUUUUUUUUAUUUAUUUUUUUAACUAAAAGAGAUAGAAAAAAUAAAAAUGAAAUCUUUAUUUUUUUAUUUUUCUUUUUAAAAUAGAUAAACCCUUCUCCUUUAUCCGGGUUUGAGACCGGCUACUUAAAUUUUCAGUAGGCGGAGUUAAAAAUUGUAUACAAACAAUUUUUUGUAGCAUGUACAAUUUUUUAAAGAAAAUUAAAAGUAACGAUAAGAAAAGAAAAGUUUCAUCAAUAUAAUUAAAUCAAAUAUCACUUACUUGACGACAUGUAAUUUCAGCAUAUUUAUCUUGUAGUCGAAAAUGAGCGUCCUGCCAAUCUUUAACGCACAUUAACGCUUCUAAAAUAUCUUCUUUCAGUUGGCUCCUGACCUAGCUCAAAAUGCUUUUACCUGCACUAAAAGCAGACUCCGAAACAAUAGUGCUAACCAGAGAUGUCAGCAGAUUUUUUGCAAUCGCAGAUAUAACUGGCCAACGUCGUUCAUACCUUCACCAGAAUUCAAUUACUUCGUCUGAACUUUUUUUAAUUAUUUUAUCUGUUGGCAUAUUUUGGUUGAAAUAAUCAAUUAAUUCAGCAGGUAAUGCAUUAUGGCUUGAGCCCGUAGAUGUUUGAUGAGAAUGAGAUACAGAUGGUGACGACAUGGCAGUGGCAAUGGUAGUAGAUGAACACAUUGCAGAUGAAUCAAAUCUAUACGAAUUAAUGCCUUGAAAUAAAUUAAAUAUUUCCACACCUUCUUCUUCAAUUUCAGCGGAAGGAGUAGGUGUAGAUGGUACCUGACUAAUAUUGGUACCCAUUCGGUUCGCAUAUAAUUCAUACAUUUCACAUAACGUUUGCUCUAAAUUUCUAUAUGUGAUAGGUGUAUCAAAUGUUAAGGCAUUUGAAAUUUGAUUAAUUAUAUAUUUAGUUCUCGAUAAAUUAUAUCGGGGGUUCAUCACGCAUGCUAAAAGAAAUCAUAUAGGCAAAUCUUCCCAAUAUUUUUUAAAUUUUAAUUUCAUGGCAAUUCUAAUUUCACUAAAAUCAGGGUCAUUUCUGUAUUUAUGAAAUAUUCUUGCAAUUUUAUAAAGAUGUUCAAGCACCAUACAGCUGGUGGGGUAGUAAACGCCCGAUAAGAUCUUAGUGGUUUCAUAAAAAGAUGUCAAAAUUUUUUUAACUUUUAAAACUAAAUGCCAAUCACGUUCGGUCAACAUACCCUCGGCAUCACUUCUAACAUAUCUAUUGUUAUAAAAGUCAAUUAUUAAAUGUUCAAAACCUUCAUAUGACUUUAAUAACAAGUAAGUAGAGUUCCACCUAUGACCUACGUCGCUAACAAAUGUUUUAGCAUUUUGCACUUCUAUUUCGGCACAAUAAUCCUCAAAUGUUUGUUUUCUACUUGGGGAGAUUGUGAUAUAUAUUAGUGCGUUCCUAAUAUUUUGAAGUUCAUCCUUUAUAUGUUUUAAAACAUUUUGGACAAUUAAAUUCAAAAUAUGACAUACACAAUGAAUAUGAAACAAAUACCCACCAAAAUUAGGUUGUAGUACCCUAUGCAAUUUUUCGGCAACUACUUUAUUAACACUAGCAUUAUCGAAAGUAAAUGAACGAAUUUUACCUUCGCAAUGAUAUUCUCAAACAAUACUAAUAAUAUCAUUAAAUAUAUUAUUAGCGUUGUGAGGAAACUCAAUAAUUCUAAAAGCAAUAAUUUUUUUAUGCAUGCACCAAAGUGGGUCUAUAUAAUGUGCAGUUGCAGCUAUAUAUACUCUUUUAUUAAUCCCUUCCCAUAUAUCCAAAGUUAAAGAUAUGACACCCCCAUAUUUUUACAAAUCCAUAAUUAAUUGUUGCUUUGUUGAAGUAAAAUAUUGUAUCGAAAAAAAGAGUGUUUCGACUUACCUCAACGUACCUUGACUGCAGAUAUUCUUUCACAUACGAGACGUAGUGUUGGUUGUCAAUUAAUGUCAAAGGCAACUCAGCACCAACAACAAGUUUCACCAUUUCGAUUCGAGCUUUCUCCUCCGAAUACACCCAUGUGGAUAGGGGUACAGCAGAACCACCAACGUCUGGACUGCCAAAUUGCAAUUGUGUUUAACAGCCUGGAAUAAGUCUGUGUCUGGCUGCACAUACUUUGUAAUGACGGUUGAGAUGAGUGGUACCAAUUCCUCUAUGCCAUGCCAAUCUUUGUUAGCAGUAUUUACAUACUGCUUUAGAUUUUUAGACUCCAUUGACGAUUUUUUCCGUUGAAAUCAACUUAAAGUAAUCCCAACAUUUUGCUUGUUUUUUCUCCUUUCGCUUUCCCCUUGCAUCAAGAAUGUUUAAUUCAGCCUCUUCUUCCUAAUCGUGUUCCGCUUCGGGAAUGUCAACAUCAUCCAAAUUAAUUGGAUUACCGCUUACAUGAUGAUGAAGAUCCAAAUUUGGAAUAUCUUCAGGUAGGGGUACGUCAUUUAGACCUUCAAAUUGAUUCUGAAAUUGACUUUGUGGUGUCAUAUGCGAUUCGUUUCCUCCUACACCGAAUAAGUUUUCGACAAAUGUGCGUGAAUCCAUUUAUUUAAUUAUAAUAAGUAAUAACUAGUUGAAGAAAAAUUGUAUGAAUGUAGUGAGAAAUGAAAAUUGGAUGAAAUUUCAAUAAAUAUAGUGAGAACUGAGAAAUGAGAAUUGGAUAUUGUAUAAAUUGUAUAUAAAAAUUGCAUAACUAUCAACACAAUACAAGAGAGUUGAGAGAAAGAUAAUUGAGAGUUGAGAGUGAAUUGGAGAAAAUUUUGUGGCUAAAUGCCACUAUUUAUAGAAGAAGAAAAGAAAAAAAUUAAAAAAAUUUAAGGACCAAAACGGUCACUGAAAAAAUUCAGUGACCGUUAACGGAAAAAAAAAUUAAUUUAGGGACUGAAACAGUCACUGACAAAAGUCAGUGACCGUUACAUAAAGUGACCGUUUCAGUCACUUUUAAAAACGAGCUCACCAGCCGCUUGCGGGCUCGUCGUGAGCGGCUUCGUUUUUUGUGCGAGUCGAGCGGGCUUGGCUCACCCACCGAACCGGCCCGCUCGGCUCACGCUCGGGCUCGUGUAUUUACGAGCUCAAGCUGCCCAUGAGCUCCGUUUUCACGAGCCGACGAGUCGCUCGGCCCAUUUGCCACCCCUAAUUAUGGGUCCCACACAAGAGAUGAAAAUUCAAAUUUGAAUACUUGAUAUGAUGGAUAGUGGCCAUAUUUUUCAUUUUAAUGGGGAAAGAAUGAAAAACAAACAUGAGCUAUAUUUUCCCUUUUAUCACCCUAAAUUUAUGUAUUUAAAUUUGAGAAAAUUAGAGAAACUACUAAACAACGGCCUGAUAAAGGCAAUAAAGAUCGUGCUGUGCCCAUUGAGACGAGAGAAAUUUCUGUAGGACGGUCGCACCACGUAACAGUGUAAACGUCUUAUCAAGGUGUGCCACCUCAACGGUUGACCCACACACCUCACGCGAUGCGACUGCCCUAUUAAGGUGCGCUACCUAGGCUAGUGGGCCACCACACACCCCCGAGGUGUGUGAUCUCCUGCUAAGGUGGCACCUCAUUGUGGAUGGUACAAUCGUCUCACUGAAGUUUCUCUCCAUUGAUAUAGUUGUGUGAGUCAGACAUUCGUUUAGACGGGUCAAGUUUUUCGCAUAUAAAUUUGUGCUAUUAAAAAUAAGAUUUUAAUCCAAAGCAAAAUUAACAAUUAAUUUUAACAAUGAAUUCACAACUUUUUAACGAUACAUUUUAUCAACUUCUAUCAAAAUUUAGUAAAACUCUAAUUUUAACCCCCAUCAAACAGGAGUUUUACUUUAACUUUGAGGUGAUUUUGGCCUUAAAUCACUUCUAAAUAAUAUAUAUGGGGCCGGUUUGACAUGAUUUUUACUUUAACUUUUAUUGCUUCUAAAAGAGCUUAUUAGAAAAGCUACUUUAAUUUUUGUUUGAAAAGUAUUAUGUAAAAUGAUUCCCUAUUUCUAAAAAUGAGUCAAACUGAACUUGCUUUCUCGAAAAACUCUUUUAAUUAUAAAAAUCACUUUUAUAAAAAUAGUCAACUAAGUCCAAAAAUAACUUUUAGGUCAUGUUUGAGCCACAUUUAAAAAAAAAUACAUUCUUAAACAGUGAUUUGACAUUAUUUCAAUCACACAUUCUUUAAUAAAAUAAUAUUAAAUACAAAUUCAAAACUUUUCUUUAUUUUUUAAUCGCACAUUUCCUAUCAAUACAUAAUUAAAAAAUGCAUUCUAAAAAAAAAUAAUGUGACUGAAAGAAGGGCUUAGAUUUCAAAACUUUCUUUUUAAAUUUUUAAAAGUUAUGUGGGUCCAUUGGAGUUGCAGUGACGAAAGUUAUUACUUUAAAAUUAUCUUUUUGGGAAAUUUCAUGGGCCAUCCAUGUUUCUCCAAAGUUAUGAGGACCUGAUUAGAAUAAAGUAAAGUAAAAAAAAAAGGUUUACUUCAGCUCCUAAAAAAAACAAAAACAAAAACAAAAAAAAAUGGUAUUCCUUCUCUAAACCGGUAAUCGGAUGAUUCUGAUUCAUUUCUUGUUUUUCAAUUUAAAACAUACAAUUUCAAACAUAUGUAAUUUUAUCAGGUCAAUAACUCCUUUUUUUUUAUCGAUAAAUAUAAACUUUAUAGAUCAAUAAUUCCUACAUAAAUGAAAUUGUUAAUUUUCGUCUAAGGGAUUUAGGAGUUGUUUGACAAAACUUUUAUAACAAAUUUGAGAGAUUUUGAUAAAAAUUGUAGAGAUUUUGAUAAAAAUUUGAGAGAUUUUGAUAAAACUUUCGUUUAAGCACUAUUCUAUGCUUUUAAAAACAUUAUUAAAUAGUAUUAAUAAUAUAAUAAUCAUUUACUUAACUAACUACAUUAACAAACUGUCAAGUGGCUCAAAAUAUCCUAAACACUUUUCUCAGAGUUCAAUCCAAACUUUCAUUCUGUGGUACCUAAAAACUAAGAUAUUAUCACAAUCAUGAUGUUGCUGCAUUAGCAUUUAGAGGUCAGUUGGCAUGCCUGAAUUUCGCCGAUUCUGUCUGGUGCUUGCCGGUGCCGAUUUCUGAAGAUGCUAAGGAUAUUCAGAAGGCGGCAAUAGAGGCGCCAGAACUGUUCAGGCCGUUCGAGGGGGGUGGUGGUGGUGGGACAAUAAUGCAAGAAAAUGAGAUGAAUUCUGAGAGGGUUUCAAGUGGCAAUUUGACAACAUUGGACACAACAAAAACACUAUCAGAUUGUGAUAUUUUUAAUAUGAUUGAGGAUUCAGAGACAAAUAUGGAAGGAGUUUUGCUAUCACCACAACCUCGUUUAGACUACAGUUUCGGUUGGGAUGAUUUGGAAAACGAUGAUGCUGAGAUGGUGCUUUGGAGCUACUCUAUUUGAUGUCAUAGUAGUUUUGGAUAGUAAAGUGCGUGAAACACAAAAAUAAAGAAGCAAGAUAUAGUAUAUGUGUGUAUUCCAGUUUGAUUGAAUAGAGCGUAGGUGAGUCAAGUUGAUCUGGUAUUUGCUUUUGAAGUCCAAUCACCCAGACAGCUUACUAUAAGACAAAAAGUAAGAGGAAAAAAUAUCAAGCUGGUAACAGUGCAAGAACUUUGGAUAGAAUGCUUUGACUGUAUUGAUUUUCUUGUAUUUUCCUUUGUACAGUUACAAUAUAUAUGAAGAAUGGAAAAGAAUAUUGGCUUAAAAACCGACUUAAGAGUGGUCCACAUAUCUCACAUCCCACUACUUCAGCAACUGACCCAGUGUUUAAAAAUCACGUUUGAUAACCACCCAUAUUCUAAGGACGUGCAAAAAAAAAAAAAAAGGCUCCAUGAUGGGCAAAGAAUUUAUAAAAGGCAUUCAAAUUCAUCGGAAGAUCCCUAAUAUCAUUUUCAUGUUUAGUUUGUAUACACUAUCUAAACAAUGAGAAAGAAAGCUUAGAAGAGCCUUAACACGCAGCCAAACACUAUCUACAAGCUUGAGUGAAUGCAUCAAGAAUGACAAUGGCGAGAGGGUUGUUUUAGAUCCAUUUUACUCUGCAUUGAUCUAAAUGUUAUUUUAUUUAUUAAAGCAUGUUUAGAUCGCUUAAGGUGACUUACAUUUGGUAUCAAAGCCUUCGUUUUGCCUUUGCCUUGUUUGUUCUUAGCCUGCACAUUCUGUUGAAAAAUUUGGUUUUUGAUUUAGUCUUUUAUAUAGAAACUGAGAUUAGGAAUCACUAGGAAAUCGAUUUCUGAGAAUUUUGAUAUAAAAUAUGCGAAAUUUGAUGGUCGGAAUCAGGAGAUAUGACCGAAUUUUUCAUUCGGGUUGAAACCGGGCUGAAACGGGUCACAUCGACCUGUUGGAGGUUAAGACAACCUCUAAUAAAAAAAGAUAAAACAUAGUAAACAAUCUUUUUAAACCUGUUUGGAAGACACGGCAAAUUAUGUUGACGUGCAGUGGGCCUUCCUGUCUCUUACUAAUUAAGGUACAAAAAUGGUUUUUGUUUUAACCAUUAGUUUCUGGCAUGCGGUCCCACUUGCAUGAAAUAAAGGCUGCCAUUGAUAAUAUGAAAAUAGAAUGUUUAAUAUUAUUAUUUUGGAUUAUUUUAAUAAAAUUUUGGACUUGCACAAGUACCAGCCGAAAAUUUUGAAAUUGUAUCUCUUUGUGGACCCAUGUGCUGGAAAUUAAUGAGAAUUAUUUGGUGAUUUUGUUUUAAUAUGUACUAAACUUAUGUUGCCCCCGUUUAGCCCUCAUUCUCAUUUUCAUUAUUUUUCUCUCUUAUUUUUAACCACACAAUCUUUCAUAAAAUAAUAUUAAAUGCAAAUAAAAAACUUUUUAUUUUUUUUCAACCAUACAUUUUUCAAAAAAAUACUUUUUCAACCAUUAAAAUUUGGUAAGAAUGGGGACCAAACAGGUGUUUUAUUGUUUUUUAUGUAUAAUUUUUAUUGUUUUGUUUAACAUGCAAUAUUGAGUUAAAUAAUUUAGUACAUUAAAAUUUAAUUUUUGUGUUCAUAUUGCUUAUGGUUUUGUGCAAUUUAUAUGAGCAUAUUUUUGUGAAUUAAAUUAAAAGUUGAGUGAUCCAUAUAAUUUAAUUAAUUGGGGAGUAGUCACAGCAUUCUUAAUUAUACAAAAUUAUUUAUUAAAUGUAUAGGAUCACAUAUUGAAUAAAGACAUUAAUUGUGGUUAAUCAUAUUUAAUAUAAUGAAUAUUAUCCCACAAGAAUUUUAUUAUAUAUCAAUGAUUAAUUAAGAUAAAAUAUCAAACUAUAUUUUCUAAUUUGCCCCCAAUGAUUAGAAAAGGGAACGUAAUUUGAUAGUUUUAUUGUGAAGUUAAAAUGAAUCUAAUUGAAUUAGAACUUAAGCCCACAUGCAAGUCUUAUAUCACUAGAUUCAUAUUUUGCAUGAUCUUAUAUCGGUAAAACAUGUCAUAUGUUAUGAUAGCUUCAAAUUUUGUAAAAUGAGCAUGAAUGUUUGAUUUAUUGCAGCAAGUCAACCUGUUAAUUUCUCUAAUAUGAAACGUGAUUUUCCCAAGCUGAAAGGGGAUAAUUAUAAGGUCUGGAAGGAGAGAAUUCUCCUUCACUUGGGAUGGAUGGACAUAUAUUACGCUAGAAGGAAGGAGGAGCCCCCCUACAGUAACUGCUACCAUCACUCCAGAGGCAGUUCAACUUUAUGAAAAAUGGGAGCGAUCUAAUUGUCUUUCAGUUAUGUUCAUAAAGACGAAAAUAUCUACUGGUAUUAGGCGCUCCAUCGAGUAGUGUGACAAAGUCCAAGAUUUGCUUACGGCCGUUGACAAACAAUUCGUCACUUCAGAUAAAGCAAUGGCCAGCACCCUCAUUAGGCAGUUUUCAUCCUUGAAGCUCAUCGGCAUUAAGGUUGUGCGUGAUCAUAUCAUGUGCAUGAGAGAUAUAGCAACCCAACUCAAGACAUUAGAAGUUGAGAUGUCCGAAUCAUUCCCGGUUCACUACAUCCUUUGCACUUUGCCUCAACAAUAUGGCCCAUUCAAGAUCUCCUAUAACAUACAUAAAGAUGAAUGGUCCAUUAAUAAGUUGCUGACCAUGUGUGUUCAGGAAGAGGGCAUACUACUUAUAGAGGAAGGUGAAAAGGAAAAGAUAUGUUUGACAACUCCAGGAAAGAAGAAGAAAGAUCAGGCCAAGGACAAGAUGAAAGGAAAAAUCCAUCCUCGAAAGGACAUCAAGAAGGAGAUUGUGUGCUUCUCUUGCAAGAAAAAACAACACGUUAAGAAGCAAUGCUCAAAGUUCAAGAAGUGGCUUGACAAACAUGAUACUCAACUCUGAUCUAUUUGUUAUGAAUCCAAUGUGAUUGAUAUUAAUCAUAACACAUGGUGGAUUGAUUCUGGUUCUACGAUCUAUGUGACCAAUUCAUUGCAGGACUUGUGAAAUCUGUGGAAACCAAUGGGAAGUGAGCGUAGCAUCUAUUCAGGAAAUAAGAUGCCCUCACAUGUGGAGGCCAUUGGCAAGUAUAUAUUGGUUUUAAGUAGUGGUUUCAUUUUAAAUUUAGAAAAGACCUUUUAUAUUCCCAGUUUUUCUAAGAUUUGAUUUCAAUUUCCAGACUUGUAUCAGAUGGUUAUUUCUUUAACUUUUUAGACUCUAAAUUUAAUUUAAUUUAUGAAUCUGAUGUUAUUGGAUGUGACACUUUGUCUGAUGGUCUUUUUCUUAUUAAUUUGCAAAACGAUGACAACCAUACUGUCAUGCACGUUCAUGAAAGUAUUGGUACUAAACAAUGUGUUGUGAAUGAAGAGUCUUCUAUGUUGUGGCAUCGGAGACUGGGACACAUCUCCAUUGAUAGAAUUAAAAGGUUAGUGAAUGAUUGGGUACUUAGUACUCCAGAUUUUACAGACUUUGGGACUUUAUAGACUGUAUUAAGGGAAAGCAGACUAACAAGUCGAAAAAGAGUGCCAAGAUAAGCUUUGAAUUAUUGGAAAUCAUACACACGGAUAUUUGUAGUCCAGACAUGGAUGCAUACCACAAUAAAUAAUCCAUCUCUUUUAUAAAUGAUUACUCACGAUACAUGUAUCUCUACUCGCUUAACAGUAAAGACGAAAUACUAGAUGCUUUUAAGGUAUUUAAAGCUGAAGUAGGGAAACAAUGCGGUAAAAUAAUUAAGAUAGUGAGAUCCGAUAGAAGUGGAGAAUAAUCUAAUGAAAAAAUUAGGCUCUAAUCAUAAGUCAAUUAUAACGAGAGGAACUAUGAUAUUGACAUGAUGCGUGAUAGCAUUUCUACAAAAUUGGGAAGAACUUUGUUCUCAAUUAAUUGGGAAGUUUAACAAAUAAUAGUUUUAACCAAUUUGUCGACAUCCUAACUAACACUUAUUAAAAUAUUGAGAUUUUUAAUCACUAACAUUAACAAGACAUUGUCUUGAUUGUAUACUCUAAAAAUCAAGCUCACAAUUUUAAAUUUGAGCAGUAAUUUCACAAACUUUAGAUUACUAACACCAUGCAAUCAUCUAGCAUAUGUAACAAAUCUAUUAGAUAUAAGCAAUAUUUAGACGAUCAACGUGGAGGAUGACGUGGUCCCAUUUAUCACACUAUUAAUUUUCAGAAAUAUAGGGAAUUCAGUCCCUAUUUUAACUAGUUGUUGUUAGUGAAAGAGAACACACGUCAUAUAUGAUUGAACUGAAGAAUAUUUUGGUUCUUUAUUGCAUAUCCAUUUGAAUUUUUAAUUUCGCAUCAUUAUUAAUCUAGUGAUGAUCAAACUGGUCAUGUCAAAUUAAACUUCUUGUUCAGUAUAAAUAUAAUUCAAUUAUUUAGUGGGUGUUUGAGCCCCAUUUUUUAAAAAAAAAAAUGCAUUUUAAAAUAGUAGAAUUAUGAGAAAUGUGUGGUUUUGAAAAAUAAGGAAUUUUUUUAAUUUACGGGUAAUAUUAUUUUAUGAAGAAUGUGUGGUUGAAAAAAAAAAAGAGAAACGUGUAUUUUUGAAAAAAUGAGAAUCAAACAAAGCAUUAAUUUCAAAAAAUAUGAUUAAACAUUAUAUAAUUAUAUAAUGAUCAAUGUUCACAUGACAUAAGUCGCAUGUUUUUCUUCAGAGAUAAACACAAAUUCAUAAAUUAUACAUGAUAUAUUCUUCAAAACAUGUACGACUUUAAGAGUACGUUAUAUUUUAUUUUCGCUUCUUUAGGAGCAACAUCAAUAUUCUUCUGAAAUAUUGGAAUGGUAGUGUCAUACUUCAGGAACAAUAACAUAUUAUUAUUAAAAUAAUAAAUUAUAUAAGAAUUUACUCUUGCACUUUUUAAAACAUUCAGGGGUAAAAUUGCAAUUUUAUUCUUUUUUUUUUGUUUUAUUUAGAAAGGAAUAUUUUGCUCAUUUAUAUUAAAAAAUCGUGAUUUUUUUUUUUUUUUCUUUUUUUUUUUUUUGUUUUAUUUAGAAAGGAAUAUUUUGCUCAUUUAUAUUAAAAAAUCGUGAAAAUGGCGUUUUCUGCAAUGAAACGUUGAAAUAAGGGCGAAAAUGUAAAAAAAUGAAACGUAGGGAUGUUUUUCGCAAUAAGUGUCGGACGUAGGGACAUUUUGUGCUAUUAACCCAAAUUUUUAAUAUAAUAUCAAAUUUUUGUUUUAAUUGUUUUAUAAUAAUGAAAUUAUAUUGGAUUUUAGGAUAUAACUUACAAAAAGUUGUACACAUAGUUGUAAAAUUACGUUGUAACAACCUAAAAUCAGGUAUCAAUAUAAUAAUUAAAUAUUAAUCAACACCAAAUUCAUCUCCAAUCCCAUUUUUGAAAACCUAAAUCUCUCUCUCUAAUCUCUCUCUUCGCUCUUCUCUCCAGUCGCUGUCUCCAUUAUUUGUCAUCGAAUUGACGGCACGGUUGAUAUGAAAUUUCUGAAAGAAGCCACCACUACUAGUGCUUCCUUAUCACUUUUCACAUUUACAGGAAGCUUCGUUCCUGCGCCUUGCCACAGCACUCGACAGUGCAGCCGUCUCCCUUCUAUUUGUUAUCGGAUCGGCGGCGCGAUCGAUGCUGAGUUUCCUGAGAGAAGCCACCGCCGAAGUCGCUUUCUUAUACCUUUCCAUAUAAACUUGGUUCUUGCACCUUCCACAUCUCUCGACGGUGUAGCAUCUAUUGAAGAGACCUGUGAGCAUGGCUUGAGACACCCAUCGUUUUGUUGUUGUUGGCGAUAUUUAUGGUUGUGUUGUGCUGGGGGACGGUGAUGUUGAUUUGGUGGUUAUGAAGCCAUGCAUCAUACAUUUUCUCCUUCUUUCUAUUGCAACCAAUUGGGAGUGGUGGACGUGGUUUUGAUGGUUGCGAUGGCAAGGUGGUGGUGGUCGUGGAAGUUGUGGCGAUGGUUGUGGGUGUAGGUGUUGGUGGGGUGAUCACCGCUUGUUUUUGUGUGGAAGUGUAUUGGUACGGUAUUUAGGUGUUUGUUGGUUUUUGGAAUGGUGGUGGAUGCCGUGGUAGAGCCGAGAGGUAGCGAUGACAAUUGGGUGGCCUGCUUGGCUUAGUGUUGUGGCUGCUGUUGAGGUAUUUUAGUUAGGUUUGUUGGAAAAUUGCAGUGGUGGUGGUUUUCAUGUUGGUGGUGGUGGUGGUGGUGGUGUUGGCGGUGGUGUGAUGGUGUUGUAGUGGGGUAGGGUAAUGUUUGUGACCAAAUAUUGUAGUGGAUCAGGAUCGAGCUUUUGGUGUCUGUGACCAACUAUUUGGUUCCCUAUGACUAACUAUUAAACUGUAACCUUAAAAUUUGAUUAGUUGUGACAUAAAAAAGUAAUUUGUGACCAUCAAAAAUGAAAAUAUGUGACUUGCGACAUAAUUUUUUGGAUUUGUAAAUUGUGGCCUUAAAAUUCGAACGUUUGUGACUUAAAAAAGUAAUUUGUGAUCAUCAAAUUUGAAAAUAUGUGAAAUGUGACCUAUAAUUUUUUGAAUUUGUAACCAAUUACAUAAAUUGUGACCUAUAAAAUUUUCGAUUUGUGACCUUCACAUAAUUUGUGAUCAAUUAAUUUUAUUAAUAUGUGAUCAAUAAAUAAAUUGUAACCUAUAAUUAUAUUCAUACGACUAUUAAUUGUAUAAAUGUGACCUCAUUGUAUUUAAUUAAUAAAUAUUUUUAAUUAAUUAGCUAAAACCUUAUUUUUGCAUUAGUUAAACUUAAAACCUGAUUUUUGAAUUGUGCAUAGUUAAAACAUGAUUUGUGAAUUUUUUCCUUUUUUUAAUUCAUUCUAUUUGGUGCAUGCUUAGGAAAGAAAACAAACUUUCUUAAUAAAAAAAGUAAGUCCAAAUCCAAUUCUCUGGUCAAAACAACCCUCACAAAAAGCCCAAAUCCAAUUCUCUUCAUCUGUUCUCUCGCUACUUUGAAUUGCUCAAAAUCUCUCAUCAGUCGCUUGUAGUCUCACUGUAGUCAACGAUUACUCCUUUGUACUACGUGAUUGUAUUCAAAUAAUUCAUUUGCUACUUUUGGCAAAAACAAAAUGAUUCGACUAUGUGAAUAUUAUUCGGUAGAUUUUGAGGUAGUAGAUAUCUUGAAAUUUGAUGAUCAUCUUGAUGCAUAUAUUCUUGACGUGCACAUUGAUGGAAAUUUUGGAGGAUUACAAGGUUUUAAUGAACUUAUAAAGAAGUUAUGAAAAAUAAAUAUCAAGUGUAUUCAUUAGCAUACAAGCUUGUGUUAUUGACCUUAAUUCCUUCCCUGGCUACUAUUAAAAUUGAAUCGGAUGAUCAGUGAUUGAAUGAUAGUUUGAUUGUACAUAUUGAAAAUUAUAUAUUUGAAAAUAUUGAAAAUGAUGUAAUUAUAGAACAUUAUCAAAGUAUGAGAAUGCAUAGAAAAUAAUUAUAAUAAGAUAUCGCAUGCUUUAAUUUUUUCACAAAUUUUUUUGCAAGUUUAAUUGGGUCCUAACUCAAAAUGCCUACGUUUGCCACUGCAUGAUGUUUACUAUAAAUCUAAUAAUAUGUAUGGACUGCAAUAUUAUUUUGUAUGUUAUGAUUAUCUACAAUACUCACUUUUGUUUCAUCAAGGUGAAACUAGUUGGCACCAUGGUGCUCAAACAGUUGAUAAGGAACAACAAUAUUGCGUGAAUUAAGCCCUUUUUUGUACACAUCAAUUUGUUUCAACUGAAGGAAUAAUUGCUAAUGAAGCAGUGAUAUCUUUUUGAUAAGUUGUUUCCAUUAUGUUGUUGUUUCUGUAGAUUUUUGUUUCUCAUAAUUUUUUUAAAUGUUGUAUCAAGAUUUUAGACAUCUAGAUUAUAUUAAUCUGACUUAACUAUGAGCCAAACUUUAUCAAGUUGUAGUUGAUAUUAUAUAGAUUAGUGAGAGUAUAGGUGAGAAAGUUGGUCGAAGUGUAACAAGUGUUGUCUUGCCUUAGUCAUAUAUUGGUAGACCUAUUUAAAUUUAUAUAAACUACUUUAUUGAAUUUAAUUUCAGUUCCAAUAUUAUACAAUGACAAAUGAAAAUUCUUUGUUGUGAUAUUCUAUGUUAAAGAUUUUGAAAAAUAAAUUAAGAAAAUUUAUGUAUUAGUUAUUAAUUUGAAGUUUAAAACUAAUUUCUUAUUCAAUUUAAGUUGAAGUUAUGAUUUAUAUCAUUUUUCAACUUUCAAAAUUUCAAAAAUGCUUGCACAAGUGUCUUGGUUUUUGUUGUGGAUGAUCUUUGUCUCUCUUUUUUUUUUUUUUUUUUUUUUUUUUUUUUUGACUGAAACUUGAUAGAAGAGAAUGCAAAUAUAAAUAUUUUUAAUAAAAAUAUAUAGUCUUUGGUAAACAAUGAAAAUUUCAAAAACUAUGUUAUUAAAGUUGUUAGAGACUCGAUCACACGGUAAUCUAUGAAGAAGAUAUGAAAUGAAGAAAAGAAAUUAACUUUUUAACGAGAAAUAUAUAAUAAUUAAAUUCUUAAAGAGAUAAAUAAAGUGUUAAUUAUAGUAUUGUACAUGUUGUAAUUCGAUAUUUUUAAUGAAGUGUAUUUUUAAUGUGUUCAGCUUUUAUAAUGACAUAUUUAUAAAUUUUUAUAUUAUUUUGGAAAAUAUUUAGUUACCAAUUAUUUUAUACAGAAGUUGCAUUUUGUACUAUUGAAUAAAAUAUAAAUUUCAAGAAAAUAAUGAGUAAACUAUAAGCCUCUAUUUAGUUUAUACAAAAAUUAAGUUUUAGUAAUAAAAAUUGAUGAAAUAUAUAAUUAAAAAAUUAUCAUUUUCCAUAAAAUAUAUGAUUAAAUUAAUUAUUAAUUUUCAAUGAUUUUUUUUUUAAAUUAAACCAAACAAGGGUGAUAUGCACACAAUAAAUAUCCUUCUUGUUGACAUUGAAAUGGUCAAUUGUACCCUCGCAUUUAAUUCCAAACAGGCAAGAAAAAAUGGUUAGAAUUUUAUUUUAUUUUUGGUAUGAAUAAAGCCGAACUUUUGCUUGAUCAAAAAAUUUAGAUUCGACUUGACUUUUUGACUCAGAUCUUUAUUGAGCCGAGCCUAGAGGCCUAGACCUUUGCAGUCUCUUUGGAGUGGAUGACAGAUUCCCUCCACUGAAUUGAUUGGCCAAUUGUACCCACGCAAUUGGCUCCAGACAGGAAAGAAACAAUUUAUUCUUCACAUGCCCUGAAAUCUACCAACCAUAAUACAUGAUGUAAUCAACCUAGGAAUCUUCGCAUCUUAUGAUGAAAUAAAUGUAUAUUUCUUUUUUUAUCACCUAAAUUCGUGUAUUUAAAUUUGAGAAAAUUAGAGAAACUGCUAGACGCUACCUGAUAAAGGCAAUAGGGAUCGUACUAUGCCCAUCGAGACGAGAGAAACUUCUGUAGGGCGGUCAUACCACGUGAUAGUGUAACCGCCUUAUCAAGGUGCGCCACCUUAGCUGAUGGCUCACACACCUCACGCGGUGCGAUCGCCCUAUUAAAGUGCGCUACCUAGGUCCGGUGGGCCACCACACACCCCUCGAGGUGUGUGGGCCACCCGCUGAGGUGGCGCCUCAUUGUGGAUGGUGCGACUGUCCCACUAAAGUUUUUCUCCAUUGAGAUAGUUGUGUGAGUCAGACAUUCGUAUGGACGGGUCAAGUUUUUCGCAUAUAAAUUUGAGCUAUUAAAAAUAAGAUUUUGAUCCAAGUCAAAAUUAACAAUUAAUUUUAACUACACAUUUCAAUGGAUUCAUAACUUUUCAACCAUACAUUUUAUCAACUUUUAUCAAAAUUUACUAAAACUCUAAUUUUAAUCACCACCAAAUAGGGGUUUUACUUUAACUUUGAGGUGAUUUUAGCCUUAAAUCACUUUUAAAUCAUAUAUAUGGGACAUGUUUGACAUGAUUUUUAUUUUAACUUUUAUUGCCUCUAGUGUUUGAAAAGUAAUUUUUAAAAUGAUUCCCUAUUUUAGAAGUAUUUUUAGAGAAAGUCAAACUGAACCUGUUUCCUCUAAAAACUCUUUUAGUUAGAAAAAUCACUUUCAUAAAAUUAGUCAAAUAAGUUCAAAAAUAACUUUUAUUCGAGCCACAUUUUUUUAAAAAAAAUACAUUCUUAGACAGUGAUUUGAUAUCAUUCCAACCACACAUUCUUCAAUAAAAUAAUAUUACACCAAAACUCAAAUUUUUUUUUUAUUUUUUAACUAUAUAUUUUCCAUCAAUACACUAUUAAAAAAUGCAUAUUAAAGAAAAUAAUGUAGCUCAAACAAGGGCUUAGAUUUCAAAACUUUCUUUUUAACUUUUUAAAAGUUAUGUGGGUCCAUUGUAGUUUCAUUGAUGAACGUUAUUACUUUAAAAUUAUCUUUUUGGGAAAUUUCAUGGGCCAUCCAUGUUUGUCCGAAGUAAUGGGUUUAGUUCAGCUCCUUCAACAUAAAAAAACUAAAAAAUGGUAUGUCAUGACGUUAAUGUUAUAAAAUCGGUAACUAAAAUAUGAAAAAAAAAAAAAGGGAAUAAAAAGAAAGUAAAUAAGCUAAUUAAAUAAAAUAUUAUUUUUCAUGGUUUUAGAAUAAUUUAAAUAAUUCUAAAAAAAUCAGAACGUCUUAUUAUGUCUAACUUCAUAUAUGCGUACUUAUACUUGUAAAUUUGAGGUUAGACCUUACCUUCAUGCACUAUUCCACGCUUUUUAAAACAUUCUUAAAUCAAUAAAACCAUAGAUACAAGAAAAAUUUUUCAGAACUUGUAUCGACGUUGAUGUGGCAAAAUGUAAAUGAACUAUUUUUUUUCAUUUUUUUCUAUAUUUCAAUGAUGUCACGCCAAAUAUUGUCCACAAGGUUUUUUCGUAAAAAAAAUUCUGUAAUUGUAAAAUCUUCUUAAAUAGUAUUAAUAAUAUAAUAAUCAUUUACUUAACUAACUACAUUAACAAAUUGUCAAGUGGGAGUACACUGAAUUUGAGUGUGAGACCCGUGUUCGUGUGCUGAGCCACAAAUUUGUUUCCUAAACACUUUUCUCAAACUUCAAUUCAACUUUUAUUCUGUGGUACCUAAAAACUAAGAUAUUAUUACCACACGUUUUGCAAUAAUGUGUCCCGAAAUAUCCUACAAAAGUGGGCCCCUUGUCAUGCCAGCCUGGAAUUUUGUCGUAUCUUUCUUAUAUAUUCCCCGCGUUCAAUUCAUAGGCAGUGACGCCCGGGUUUCCUCUCUUUUCUCUUACCACAAAAUUAUAAAAGCCUCUGUCAUUUGCCCAGUCCAAACUUAGCAACACCCUAGUAAGCAAAAUAAACAUUACAUAUAUAAUUCUCUUCUCUGCUUCUUGAUCAUAAUUUUCAUGGAUUCGUUAGAUUCAUGUUCUGAUCCAAAUCCGUUCGGCGUUUCCGACAUGCCUGAGAUUACAUCGUUGAAGGGACAUUCUGACGAAGAGGUUAUUUUGGCGUCGAGUCAGCCCAAGAAACGUACAGGAAGGAAGAAGUUCAAGGAAACUCGCCACCCGGUUUAUCGAGGCAUUAGACAGAGGAAUUCAAACAAAUGGGUAUGCGAGUUACGCGAACCGAGCAAUCAGAAAAGGAUAUGGCUAGGAACUCAUCCUACUGCAGAAAUGGCAGCACGUGCUCAUGAUGUUGCUGCAUUAGCAUUCAGAGGUCAGUUGGCAUGCCUGAAUUUCGCCGAUUCUGUCUGGUGCUUGCCGGUGCCGGUUUCUAAAGAUGCUAAGGAUAUUCAGAAGGCGGCAAUAGAGGCGGCAGAACUGUUUAGGCCGUUCGAGGGGGGUGGUGGUGGUGGGACAAUAAUGCAAGAAAAUGAGAUGAAUUCUGAGGGGGUUUCAAGUGGCAACUUGACAACAUUGGACACAACAAAAACACUAUCAGAUUGUGAUAUUUUUAAUAUGAGUGAGGAUUCAGAGACAAAUAUGGAAGGAGUUUUGCUGUCACCACAACCUCGUUUAGACUACAGUUUCGGCUGGGAUGAUUUGGAAAACGAUGAUGCUGAGAUGGUGCUUUGGAGCUAUUCUAUUUGAUGUCAUAGUAGUUUUGGAUAGUAAAGUGCAUAAAAACACAAAAAUAAAGAAACAAGAUAUAGUAUAUGUGUGUAUUCCAG
rnacentral:lncRNA from 1 species